rnacentral:rRNA from 1 species
UCGACUAAGCCAUGCGAGUCCAGAGUGGUAAUGCACUCGGCAAACGGCUCAGUAACACGUGGGUAACCUACCCUUAGGACAGGAAUAACCCCGGAAAACUGGGGAUAAUGCCUGAUAGGUGGAGAAGUCUGGAACGGGUCUCCGCUCAAAUGCUCCGGCGCCUGAGGAUGGGCCUGCGACCGAUUAGGUUGUUGGUGGUGUAAUGGACCACCAAGCCUGAGAUCGGUACGGGCACUGAGAGGUGUAGCCCGGAGAUGUGGACUGAGACACGGCCCCAGGCCCUACGGGGCGCAGCAGGCGCGAAAACUCCGUAAUACACGAAAGUGUGACGGGGGAACCCCGAGUGCACUCACGCAAGUGAGUGCUUUUGUGAAGUGUAAAUAGCUUUAUGAAUAAGAGCUGGGUAAGACCGGUGCCAGCCGCCGCGGUAACACCGGCAGCUCGAGUGGUGAGCACUAUUAUUGGGCC